GCCUGGGUAGCUCAGUCAGUUGAGCGUCCGACUUCAGCUCGGGUUGUGAUCUCGCAGUUCAUAGAUUCGAGCCCCAUGUCAGGCU
rnacentral:tRNA from 1 species